rnacentral:rRNA from 1 species
GACGAACGCUGGCGGCGUGCCUAAUACAUGCAAGUCGAACGCAGUGGUGCCGGGUGAGUAACCCGUUGGUAACCUCCCAUCAGAGGGGAUAACCCUUUGAAACAGGUGCUAAACCGAUACUGAUGGAUGAACCCGGGGUGCAUUAGCUAGUUGGUGAGGUAACGGCGCACAAAGGCCACGAUGCAUAGCGGAACUGAGAGGGGGAUAGGCCACACUGGGACUGAGACACGGCCCAGACUCCUACGGGAGGCAGCAGUAGGGAAUAUUCGGCAAUGGACGAAAGUCUGAUCGAGCAACGCCGCGUGAGUGAAGAAGGUUUUCGGAUCGUAAAACUCUGUUGUUAGAGAAGCGGUAUCUAACCAGAAAGCCACGGCUAACUACGUGCCAGCAGCCGCGGUAAUAC